GGAGCCAGUCCUUGAACAUUCACAGUUCAUUGACUUUCAACAGAAGAUGGACUGUGAUGUGAAUGAUGCCCUAUACUUUGUGUACAGGUUUAGUCAUCUGCUUUCGUAUGGAGAUCCCAAAGAAUAGGACAAGUUGAGUGAUGAGUUCCUGGACUAUCAACUUA